GAUGAACGCUGGCGGCGUGCCUAAUACAUGCAAGUCGAGCGAACGGACGAGAAGCUUGCUUCUCUGAUGUUAGCGGCGGACGGGUGAGUAACACGUGGAUAACCUACCUAUAAGACUGGGAUAACUUCGGGAAACCGGAUCUAAUACCGGAUGAUAUUUUGAACCGCAUUGUUCAAACGUGAAAGACGGUCUUGCUGUCACUUAUAGAUGGAUCCGCGCUGCAUUCGCUAGUUGGUAAGGUAACGGCUUACCAAGGCAACGAUGCAUAGCCGACCUGAGAGGGUGAUUGGCCACACGGGAACUGAGACACGGUCCAGACUCCUACGGGAGGCAGCAGUAGGGAAUCUUCCGCAAUGGGCGAAAGCCUGACGGAGCAACGCCGCGGGAGUGAUGAAGGUCUUCGGAUCGUAAAACUCUGUAAUUAGGGAAGAACAUAUGUGUAAGUAACUGUGCACAUCUUGACGGUACCUAAUCAGAAAGCCACGGCUAACUACGUG
rnacentral:rRNA from 1 species